CGGAAACCGCUUUUUUUCUCAGAGAAAGUCUCGGAUCGCAGUAGAGCCGUACUACGUAAAGCGUUGGUGGUUGCCGGCUGGUGCACAAUGCACAUUGCAUUGGCCAUCGAUACCUGUCCUGUCCUGUUGGCUAUAGAACGACACUAGCCUGUUGACGUUUGCCGAAGACCAGAUCGCAUGUCCGGCGUGGCGGCGUAAAACCGUAAACUAUAUUUUGUCGAAAUUAUUACAGUGCAUAAGAUAUAAGAACAGAUUGUGCAAAAUACGUUCACAUAAUUAUUCUACCCAU